ACAACAUACGGACCGACAGUCUACCGAGAAAUAUCACCCGCUCGGUGGAAGAUCUUCCUUUCUUCGU
rnacentral:pre_miRNA from 1 species